rnacentral:rRNA from 1 species
CCUACGGGAGGCAGCAGUGGGGGAUAUUGCACAAUGGGGGGAACCCUGAUGCAGCGACGCCGCGUGAGCGAAGAAGUACCUCGGUAUGUAAAGCUCUAUCAGCAGGGAAGAAAAUGACGGUACCUGACUAAGAAGCCCCGGCUAAAUACGUGCCAGCAGCCGCGGUAAUCCGUAUGGGGCAAGCGUUAUCCGGAUUUGCUGGGUGUAAAGGGAGCGCAGGCGGCCUGCCAAGUCUGGCGUGAAAACCAGGGGCCCAACCCCGGGCCUGCCUUGGAAACUGGCGGGCUGGAGUGGCGGAGGGGCAGGCGGAAUGCCUGGUGUAGCGGUGAAAUGCAUAGAUAUUGGGAAGAACACCGGUGGCGAAGGCGGCCUGCUGGACGAUGACUGACGCUGAGGCUCGAAAGCGUGGGGAGCGAACAGGAUUAGAUACCCGAGUAGUC